rnacentral:rRNA from 1 species
AACGAACGCUGGCGGCAUGCCUAACACAUGCAAGUCGAACGAGACCUUCGGGUCUAGUGGCGCACGGGUGCGUAACGCGUGGGAACCUGCCCUUAGGUUCGGAAUAACUCCCCGAAAGGGGUGCUAAUACCGGAUAAUGUCUUCGGACCAAAGAUUUAUCGCCUUUGGAUGGGCCCGCGUUGGCUUAGCUAGUUGGGAGGGUAAAAGCCUACCAAGGCGACGAUCCAUAGCUGGUCUGAGAGGAUGAUCAGCAACACUGGGACUGGGACACGGCCCAGACUCCGACGGGUGGCAGCAGUGGUGAUCAUUGGACACCGGGCGAAAGCCUGAUCCAGCAAGGCCGCGUGAGUGAUGAAGGCCUUAGGGUUGUAAAGCUCUUUUACCCGGGAUGAUAUUGACAGUACCGGGAGAAUAAGCUCCGGCUACCUCCGU